UGUGUAGGCGGUUGUUUAAGUUUGGUGUGAAAUCUCCCGGCUCAACUGGGAGGGUGCGCCGAAUACUGAAUGACUCGAGUGCGGGAGAGGAGAGUGGAAUUCCUGGUGUAGCGGUGAAAUGCGUAGAUAUCAGGAGGAACACCGGCGGUGUAGACGGCUCUCUGGACCGUAACUGACGCUGAAACACGAAAGCGUGGGUAGCAAACA
rnacentral:rRNA from 1 species